CUGUACCACCUCUGAGAAAUCAGAGAAAUCAUUUUUUUACUCUGACAGAGUGCAAUGUUCUGAUAAGAGGCUGGGAAGAAAACAGCUUAUCAGCAGCAUGGUAAUCAGUCAGGUAUGAGACACCAUGAACUGAACUCGGGCAAAAGGCAAGUUUGCUGUUCAGUGUGGACAAAGUACAUUAGGCCCAUAUAGUGUGGACAAGCAAGUAGAUUUUUGUUAUCCCGGAAAAGAUCUGGCUAUUAAAUCUGGUAAAGUAAAGGAACACGGACAAACUAUGAAGGCUACGGAAUCCUGUCCUGGCACUUGGUGCCACUCCUCUACUGCCACACCAUUCUCCUACCUGUGGAAAGGUCAUUUGAGAUAGUGGUAACCUCAGAAUCAUCAGGUGGAAAGACUCUGUAGUCAGAUGGGACGGCCCAGCGCAGACUCUACUACAGAACGCCCAGAAAGUCUCCAGGACUGUGACUGUCGGUGUCUGACUUUGUCUUUGACGUUCUCUGUUACAGUAUAACUCAUCGUGGACCCAAGGAUAUUUAUGUUCCCCAGAUUAGCUGCUGACUGGAGUUUUUGUUUUUGUUUCCUCUGUUGUCAACUGGCCAUAGUUCAACAAUUAAUUAAUGA